rnacentral:lncRNA from 1 species
CCAGCUGGUGAGUGCCUGGGCUGCUAGGCACAUGGCAAAAGCCAUAGCCAGCAAGCUGGCAGCGGCCAAAGCUGUCCUGGGACCACACCUGGAGAUGAAGUCGAGGCCAACCUGCAGGACAAGAGGGGUCAGAAAAAAGGACAAAGGAGGCAGACCUGCCCCUGGGUUCCCAUCUCCUUGAAACCAGUAGAGACUAAGGCCCUGUUCUCCAGGCUGGGGACACAGCAAUGAACACAGCAGACAAAAAUUCCUGCCCUGUGAAGCUGACAUCCUAGACAACCAACAUAGUAAAUAAGUAAAUUAUAGGGGUCCGGUGCAGUCCCAGACCCUGAUGCCUGGGUCUGGGAGCACAGUGAAGACGGGAAGGAAGAAUGGUCCAGAUCUUGGCACCCGCAGUCUACACCUGAAAUCUCAGCAUGUGGGAGUGUGUGGAGGGCUUUCCUGGGCUGCCUGAUGAGUGUGAAGUCAGCAUGGGCUACAGCGUGGGUCUCAAAAGGAAAACCGGAAGGAGAUGAAGAGCACCUGAGAGAGAACAGACCUGGGCGGUGAUGGCACUCACAUUUAGUCUUAGCCCUCAGGAGACAGAGGCAGGCAGAUCUCUGUGAGUUCGAAACCAGCCUGGUCUACAGGAGUUCCCAGGGCUGCCAGGGCUACAUAGAAAAACCCUGUCUCAGAAAACAAAUAAAGUCUGGUACUAUUCAUA